rnacentral:rRNA from 1 species
UGGGGAAUUCUGGACAAUGGGCGCAAGCCUGAUCCAGCCAUGCCGCGUGCGGGAAGAAGGCCUUCGGGUUGUAAACCGCUUUUGUCAGGGAAGAAAUCCUCUGGGUUAAUACCUCGGGGGGAUGACGGUACCUGAAGAAUAAGCACCGGCUAACUACGUGCCAGCAGCCGCGGUAAUACGUAGGGUGCAAGCGUUAAUCGGAAUUACUGGGCGUAAAGCGUGCGCAGGCGGUUGUGCAAGACAGAUGUGAAAUCCCCGGGCUCAACCUGGGAACUGCAUUUGUGACUGCACGGCUAGAGUACGGUAGAGGGGGAUGGAAUUCCGCGUGUAGCAGUGAAAUGCGUAGAUAUGCGGAGGAACACCGAUGGCGAAGGCAAUCCCCUGGACCUGUACUGACGCUCAUGCACGAAAGCGUGGGGAGCAAACA